AACGAACGCUGGCGGCGUGCCUAACACAUGCAAGUCGAACGAGAAAGGGGCUUCGGCUCCGAGUAAAGUGGCGCACGGGUGAGUAACACGUGGGUAACCUGCCUCUAAGAUUGGGAUAACUCGUCGAAAGAUGAGCUAAUACCGGAUAAGACCCCAGUUCCCGCGGGAACAGGGGUCAAAGGUAGCCUCUGCUUGCAAGCUAUCACUUAGAGAUGGGCCUGCGCACCAUUAGCUAGUUGGUAGGGUAACGGCCUACCAAGGCAAAGAUGGUUAGCUGGUCUGGGAGGAUGAUCAGCCACACUGGAACUGGAACACGGUCCAGACUCCUACGGGAGGCAGCAGUGGGGAAUAUUGCGCAAUGGGCGAAAGCUUGACGCAGCAACGCCGCGUGAGUGAUGAAGGCCUUCGGGUCGUAAAGCUCUGUCGGGAGGAACGAAUGCUCCCAAGGUUAACAGCCUCGGGAGGUGACGGUACCUUCAAAGGAAGCACCGGCUAACUCUGUGCCAGCCGCCGCUGUAACAC
rnacentral:rRNA from 1 species